rnacentral:rRNA from 1 species
GAUCAUGGCUCAGGAUGAACGCUAGCUACAGGCUUAACACAUGCAAGUCGAGGGGCAGCGGGAUUGAAGCUUGCUUCAAUUGCCGGCGACCGGCGCACGGGUGAGUAACGUGUAUCCAACCUUCCGUACACUCAGGGAUAGCCUUUCGAAAGAAAGAUUAAUACCUGAUGGUAUGAUGAGAUUGCAUGAUAUCAGCAUUAAAGAUUUAUCGGUGUACGAUGGGGA